rnacentral:lncRNA from 1 species
UUUUUAGCAGGGAACACGUAAACUUUUCCUUCAAAAGAGAAAGUUAGCUCGGUAGUUCUCGACGCCAUAACAACGCCUCCACCAGCUGCGCCACCGCCACCAUUAACACCGCCUACUACACCUAUUCCAUGCUCUUCAAACGGAUGCACUUGCAGUGGCUGUGGAUUGACAGCCGCCAAAUAUAAACAACCAAAGGCGGCACUGUUCUAAUUGUACCGAAAAUCGAAGCCCUGAGCUUGCGAUUAUCACCCUAUUCAUUGAAGAUCCAUGGCUUCUGUCCAGUUGUUGGUUACUCAAAUAUUUCUUUUAGAAUUUUUUCAUCAAUACAAUCGUAUCAGUUGUUAUAUGUUUAUUCGCUUAGUUAGAAUGUGGUUAGCAUGUUUAACAUUGUACUUGUACUUGUGCUAUGAAUGUUGUGUGAAAAACACUUGUAAAUAUUGUGUAAGUGUUACAGGGAGUCUUUACCAAGCUCGAAAUUCUCUGUUCCUAUGAUUUGAAGAUACUGCUUACUCUGUGUUUGAUAAAAUGUCUAAGUGAAUUUGCAG